rnacentral:rRNA from 1 species
AUACGAAGGGAGCUAGCGUUGUUCGGAUUUACUGGGCGUAAAGAGCAUGUAGGCGGUUUUGUAAGUUAGAGGUGAAAGCCCGGAGCUCAACUCCGGAAUAGCCUUUGAUACUAUGAGACUUGAGACUAAGAGAGGAUAGCGGAAUAUCCAGUGUAGAGGUGAAAUUCGUAGAUAUUGGAUAGAACACCAGAGGCGAAGGCGGCUAUCUGGCUUAGUACUGACGCUGAGAUGCGAAAGCGUGGGGAGC